rnacentral:lncRNA from 1 species
CACCUUAUAGAUUUUAUCCCUUUAGGUGGAUCAACUAGUGUCCAUACACCAAUGAUCUCCAUGGACUCCAUUUCGAAUGGUAUGGCAUCAAGCCAUUUGUCAGAGUCGGAUCUCUGCAUGGCAUCCAUGUAGGUGAUCGGAUCCUCAUCAUUCUCAUCUAGUUAAACAGGAUCACCAUCCCAGAUUAAGAAAUCAUAGUAUCUACCUGACUGAUGUAGUACUC